UACGAAGGGUGCGAGCGUUGUUCGGAUUUACUGGGCGUAAAGGGCGCGUAGGCGGCGCGAGAAGUCGAGUGUGAAAUUUCGGAGCUUAACUCCGAAACUGCAUUCGAUACUGGCGUGCUUGAGGACUGGAGAGGAGACUGGAAUUUACGGUGUAGCAGUGAAAUGCGUAGAUAUCGUAAGGAAGACCAGUGGCGAAGGCGGGUCUCUGGACAGUUCCUGACACUGAGACACGAAGGCCAGGGGAGCAAACGGG
rnacentral:rRNA from 1 species